UCCCGGCUAGCUCAGUUGGUAGAGCGUCAGACUCUUAAUAGGUUUCCUCGAUUGGCAGGAUAUUAUCUGAAUGUCGUGGGUUCGAGCCCCACGUUGGGAG
rnacentral:tRNA from 1 species